ACGGAGGAUGCAAGCGUUAUCCGGAAUGAUUGGGCGUAAAGAGUCCGUAGGUGGCGAUUCAAGUCUAUUGUCAAAGAGCGAGGCUUAACUUCGCUAAGGCCGUAGAAACUGAAAAGCUAGAGAGCAGUAGGGGCAGAAGGAAUUCCUGGUGUAGCGGUGAAAUGCGUAGAUAUCAGGAGGAACACCCGAGGCGAAGGCGGCUCUCUGGGUCGUACCUGACGCUGAGGCGCGAAAGCGUGGGGAGCGAACGGGA
rnacentral:rRNA from 1 species